rnacentral:rRNA from 1 species
UACGUAGGGGGCAAGCGUUGUUCGGAAUUACUGGGCGUAAAGGGCGCGUAGGCGGCACGGCAAGUCAGGAGUGAAAGGCCUGGGCUCAACCUGGGAAUUGCUUUUGAAACUGCCGAGCUAGAGUGCGGAAGGGGCAACUGGAAUUCCCAGUGUAGCGGUGAAAUGCGUAGAUAUUGGGAAGAACACCUGAGGCGAAGGCGGGUUGCUGGGCCGACACUGACGCUGAUGCGCGAAAGCCAGGGGAGCGAAUGGG